UAGUUCGGGUUUCUCUUCAUUCAAACACAAAUCUUUCACCUUUUACAAAAGAUUUCCAUGGAAGGGAACAUUGACGAGUUCUUCUUAUUUAUGAAGGCUCUGCUAUGGCUGGGGCA
rnacentral:snRNA from 1 species